UCUCCGUUGGUGAACCAGCGGAGGGAUCAUUAUCGAGUUUAUAACUCCCAAACCCUAUGUGAACUUACCACUUGUUGCUUCGGCGCGCGCUUCGGUGCCGCCGAGGACACUUAAACUCUUUGUUUUUAUAAGCAUUUCUGAGUGGCCGAAAGGCAAAAUACAAAUGAAUCAAAACUUUCAACAACGGAUCUCUUGGUUCUGGCAUCGAUGAAGGAACGCAGC
rnacentral:misc_RNA from 1 species